UGAAUACGAGACGCUAAGGCGUCGAAGUAGUGUAUGUCAUACUUCCAAGAAAAGCUUGCACUGUCAUAGAUAAAAAACGCCUGUACCAUAACCGACACAGGUGGGUAGGUAGAGUAUACUAAGGGGCGCGAGAUAACUCUCUCUAAGGAACUCGGCAAAAUAACUCCGUAACUUCGGGAGAAGGAGUGCCUUAUUCGUAAGGUUGCAAUAACAAGAUCCAAGCAACUGUUUAUCAAAAACACAGGUCUCCGCUAAGUCGUAAGACGAUGUAUGGGGGCUGACGCCUGCCCAGUGCCAGAAGGUUAAAGAAGUUGGUUAGCAAUUGCGAAGCUGAUAACUGAAGCCCUGGUGAACGGCGGCCGUAACUAUAACGGUCCUAAGGUAGCGAAAUUCCUUGUCGGGUAAGUUCCGACCCGCACGAAAGGCGUAAUGAUUUGGAUACUGUCUCGGAGAGGGGCUCGGUGAAAUAGACUUGUCUGUGAAGAUGCGGACUACCUGCACCAGGACAGAAAGACCCUAUGAAGCUUUACUGUAACUUGAAAUUGAAAUUGGACUUUAUUCGCGCAGCAUAGGUGGGAGGCGUUGAUUAUAAUCUUGCGGGAUUAUUGGAGCCAUCAGUGAGAUACCACUCUUGUAAUGUUAGAUUUCUAACUUUGAAUCAUUAUCUGGUCAAAGAACAGUUUCAGGCGGGCAGUUUGACUGGGGCGGUCGCCUCCUAAACGGUAACGGAGGCGUACAAAGGUUUCCUCUGAACGGUUAGAAAUCGUAUCUAGAGUGUAAAGGCAUAAGGAAGCUUGACUGUGAGACCUACAAGUCGAGCAGGGACGAAAGUCGGUCUUAGUGAUCUGACGGUACUGAGUGGAAAGGCCGUCACUCAACGGAUAAAAGUUACUCUAAGGAUAACAGGCUGAUCUCCCCCAAGAGUUCACAUCGACGGGGAGGUUUGGCACCUCGAUGUCGGCUCAUCGCAUCCUGGGGCGGUAGUACGUCCCAAGGGUUGGGCUGUUCGCCCAUGAAAGCGGUACGCGAGCUGGGUUCAGAACGUCGUGAGACAGUUCGGUCCAUAUCCGGUGUAGGCGUUAGAAUAUUGAGAGGAGCCUUCUUUAGUACGAGAGGACCGAGAAGGACAUACCUCUGGUGUACCAGUUAUCGUGCCAACGGUAAACGCUGGGUAGCUAUGUAUGGAGUGGAUAACCGCUGAAAGCAUCUAAGUGGGAAGCCCACCUCAAGAUAAG
rnacentral:rRNA from 1 species